UACGUAGGGGGCAAGCGUUGUCCGGAUUUAUGGGGCGAAAAGAGCGUGUAGGCGGUUAGGUAGGUCCGUUGUGAAAACUCGAGGCUCAACCUCGAGACGCCGAUGGAAACCAUCUGACUAGAGUCCGGAAGAGGAGAGUGGAAUUCCUGGUGUAGCGGUGAAAUGCGCAGAUAUCAGGAAGAACACCCGUGGCGAAGGCGGCUCUCUGGGACGGUACUGACGCUGAGACGCGAAAGCGUGGGGAGCGAACAGG
rnacentral:rRNA from 1 species